rnacentral:rRNA from 1 species
UACGAAGGGGGCUAGCGUUGUUCGGAUUUACUGGGCGUAAAGCGCACGUAGGCGGAUCGUUAAGUCGGGGGUGAAAUCCUGGAGCUCAACUCCAGAACUGCCUUCGAUACUGGUGGGCUUGAGUCCGGGAGAGGUGAGUGGAACUGCGAGUGUAGAGGUGAAAUUCGUAGAUAUUCGCAAGAACACCAGUGGCGAAGGCGGCUCACUGGCCCGGUACUGACGCUGAGGUGCGAAAGCGUGGGGAGCAAACAGG